CGACUGGUCGCGUGGGCGGUGCUCGAGCGAGGAGGGGGAUGGCGGAGGUGAAGGGCGUCGCUCAAACUGGGAUCUCUCCAAUAAUCAUGGAUACCACCAGGAAGGUGCCAGUAAUUCGCAAAUCCCUCAAACCAGCAAGACCAUUACAUCGUUUAUCUACUGAACUAGAUUCUGCUGUAUGCAUUGAUUACCUACCACCGGUUUUACAUCAAAAUGAAGUUUCAUGGAAUGAAGAGAACUGGACCAUUUCAAGUGGAUAUGCACAACGGGAAACCAAGUGGAGUGAUGUUCCGACCUUUAGAAGCAAGCAAGAUCUUAAAGGACAGGAACGACCAAUAGAAAGACGUCAUUCUGGUCAGGGAGAUGGCACAAAGAAGGAUGCAGAGAGGAUUACUUACAGCAGAGAAUUCCUGAUGAAAAUUGCUAGCCUGCCUAUUUCAAAAGAGAAACCGGAGUUUUUGCCAUCUCUUCCUGUGGUAUUAGAGAGGCCAGAUGUAGAUGUCGCUGACAAGGACAGCAUUUGUUACCCAUCAAUGGCUUGUUAGGCCAUUCAGAAGGCGGUUAAGAGUCAACCACAUUACUGUGGAUCCGGAGGCCAGAAUAGAGAGAGAGGUUGUAUGGAAGUGGACGGGGUUUAUGUUUUGCUUACCAAAAGAUGGCUACCAAUCAUCAUGGAAUUGCUGGC